UACGUAGGGUCCGAGCGUUGUCCGGAAUUACUGGGCGUAAAGAGCUCGUAGGUGGUUUGUCGCGUUAUUCGUGAAAACUCACAGCUCAACUGUGGGCGUGCGGGCGAUACGGGCAGACUUGAGUACUGCAGGGGAGACUGGAAUUCCUGGUGUAGCGGUGGAAUGCGCAGAUAUCAGGAGGAACACUGGUGGCGAAGGCGGGUCUCUGGGCAGUAACUGACGCUGAGGAGCGAAAGCGUGGGGAGCGAACAGG
rnacentral:rRNA from 1 species